AUUGAACGCUGGCGGCAGGCCUAACACAUGCAAGUCGAACGGUAACAGGAAGAAGCUUGCUUCUUUGCUGACGAGUGGCGGACGGGUGAGUAAUGUCUGGGGAACUGCCUGAUGGAGGGGGAUAACUACUGGAAACGGUAGCUAAUACCGCAUAAUGUCGCAAGACCAAAGAGGGGGACCUUCGGGCCUCUUGCCAUCGGAUGUGCCCAGAUGGGAUUAGCUAGUAGGUGGGGUAACGGCUCACCUAGGCGACGAUCCCUAGCUGGUCUGAGAGGAUGACCAGCCACACUGGAACUGAGACACGGUCCAGACUCCUACGGGAGGCAGCAGUGGGGAAUAUUGCACAAUGGGCGCAAGCCUGAUGCAGCUAUGCCGCGUGUAUGAAGAAGGCCUUCGGGUUGUAAAGUACUUUCAGCGGGGAGGAAGGGAGUAAAGUUAAUACCUUUGCUCAUUGACGUUACCCGCAGAAGAAGCACCGGCUAACUCCGUG
rnacentral:rRNA from 1 species